rnacentral:rRNA from 1 species
UACGUAGGGGGCAAGCGUUGUCCGGAAUCAUUGGGCGUAAAGAGCGUGUAGGCGGCCCGGUAAGUCCGCUGUGAAAGUCCAGGGCUCAACCCUGGGAUGCCGGUGGAUACUGUCGGGCUCGAGUCCGGAAGAGGCGAGUGGAAUUCCUGGUGUAGCGGUGAAAUGCGUAGAUAUCUGCAGGAACACCCGUGGCGAAAGCGGCGCGCUGGACCACUACUGACGCUGAGGAACGAAAGCUAGGGGAGCAAACAGG